CACGUAGGGCGCAAGCGUUGUCCGGAAUUAUUGGGCGUAAAGAGCUCGUAGGCGGUCUGUUGCGUCCGCUGUGAAAACUCGGGGCUUAACCCCGAGCCUGCAGUGGAUACGGGCAGACUAGAGGUAGGUAGGGGAGAAUGGAAUUCCUGGUGUAGCGGUGAAAUGCGUAGAUAUCAGGAGGAAUACCGAUGGCGAAGGCAGUACUCUGGGCUAACACUGACGCUGAGGUGCGAAAGCGUGGGGAGCAAACAGG
rnacentral:rRNA from 1 species